CCUUUGAGUUGCAUCAAUGGUGUGAUGAUUGAUUUAUUGUAGGCGAUCAUCGAGAAAUAAAACUGCCUCAAUAGUCUUUCAGUCAAUUGGUGAAAUCAGUCAAACGCAUUUGUUGUUGGAGUGGCGUUGAAGCACUUAGUCACUUUAUUAUUUUUCUGUGAUUUGCCGCCGCCAACACCUACGCGAUCCACGCUGUCGUGAAGUGUUUACAUAUGCCUCAGAGCAAUUUCGGAAGGAGUGAGACGCAAGGGUAAUUGUAUAAAAAAUAUUGUGCGAUAAUUAUGGGGAAAGAGUUUGUCAUGCCGCAUGACUAAUAUAGGAUCAGUGAACUCUGCAGAGGCAGCUAAAUAAUAUACAUAUCUGAUCACAAGGAAUAAAUAGUAAAUAUUUAUGGAACUUCAACAUUAAUAUUUUUAAACAAAACCUUAGCAUAGAGGAGUUCUCAAUGACGGUAGACUUUCAAAAACACUUUUUAUUUCAAAAUUUGCAAUAUGCGGUCAAGGAUGCAUGAAACCAAUUUAUAUACCCCUUGCGAUGUUAACCGUAUUUUAGUGAGGGCAUUCUGCAUGUAUCGGAACAAAUGGUAGUCAGAAGGGUAAGGUCUAGGUUAUAAUUUGGAUGAGACACUACUUCGUAGCCGCUGUUUUCCAAAUAUUGUUGUUUUUACCAGUCUUGAAAAAUGAGUACGAGUAUUUGACAUAUGUUCCAUAAUAUUCGGGUCCCGUGGAAAAAAGGUUACAUGGCAAAGUUGUGGGUAAU